AUUUAUAUAGUUUAAAAAAAACAUUACAUUUUCAUUGUAAAAUUAAAAUAUUUUUUUUAUAAAUU
rnacentral:tRNA from 1 species